rnacentral:lncRNA from 1 species
UGCAUCAUAAAAAAAUCAUAACAAUAUAAUGCAAUAAAAAACCAUAACAAUGUAGACAUCAAGCUGAUAUCCAUUUAUGUUCAACGAGAACCGGAUAUCCUGCACUGGUUUUGGCCCCCAUUUAGUUUCACGAGGCUACGUUGGGCUUUUACAGGGCUUGGCCUUUUGAAAGGCUGUUCUUGGCCCAUUUAGAACCACCGUCUCGGGCCCAUCAAAGGCUGGGUUGGCAACGAGAAAAAUGUUAUGGGAUUCGGAUUUGCUCAAACACGCACGCACACAAAAAAAAUCCUCUCAUCUUCCCUCAGGGGAAAAAAAUCCUCUUCUCAUUGCUCGGCACAUCUCAAUUCGAUGCACAAUUUUUCUUUUUACAGCCUUUAAUUGCAUUAUUUUCUUUAUAAUAUGAAUUAUUUUCUAAAUUCUCUCCCUUUUUUUUCUUUUAAGAUUCUGCAUCUUUGCCCCAGCCAAAUUGUUCCUUGUUCCCAGAUGAGUAACAUGUGACCAUGCAUCCACGCACUUUAGAGGUAGAGGGAACGGAUACAGAUGAUUAGGCUCAAAACUAAAUAGCUUAUACUUUUCUAUAUCAAGAUCUUCUUAUAACCCGAUUCAAACUCUCCAUUUCUCACCAAAAUCUAAUCACCCCAUAAGCUACUAAAAUGUUUUGCAUCUUUGCCCCCAGCCAAAUUAUUCCUUGUUCCUAGAUGAGUAACAUGUGACCAUGCAUCACGCACUUUAGAGGUAGAUGGAAUGGAUACAGAUGAUUAGGCUCGAAACUAAAUAGCUUCUGC